ACUUUUGACUGGUACUGUAUAUUUAAAUAUGUUCAUGUGUUGUACAUGUAUCAUAUAUAUUUAAUUGUAUCAUAUAUCCUUAUUGAGAGCAGGGAGUUGAGGAGAUACCUGAGAAGAGUAAGAGAGCAGAGAUGACUGUGAGGAUGCUGAGACACAUGCACAGCCAGUCCCUUACCAACAUGGCUGUCUCUCAGAGACUGCUACUGGACAGAGACAGACACUCACUGUGCUGCUGUUGGGAACAGAAGAGGAGUUUCCAAGAUCUGACGCAGUAUGUAUUUCCGAGUGUUCACUCUGAUGAAGAGAAGAAGAAGAGUUGUGCUGGGAACCUCCCUCCUCUCCUUCCUCUCCCUCCUCCUCCUCCUCCGUCCUACCAGGAAUGGACCAGGAUCGACCCAGAUGAUUCAGAGGUCCCUAGCCUGGGCCUGGAAGGGCUUGGGCUGAGGACCAUACCCUCUGCUGUAAACACAGAAAUAUGUAGCAAGACUCCUGAGCCUUUAUCCAUAGAAGAUGUGUGUCAACGCAACCCUUCAGGGGUAAGAUAUUUCUCUUGACAGGCUAUAGGGUUACUGCAGUUUGGAGAAUGUUUCAG